GUUUCAAAAGAAAAUGCUAUAGAUAUUUAACAGGAAUUUUAAGAUAUUUUUAACUUCUCAGAAUCAGGGCCACUACUAGCCAAUGUGAUGCCCUGUGCAAAUCAGAAGUAGGGACACCUUUUUUUUUUCUGGAUAGAUGCAACCCUGCACUAAGGCAGAUCGCUGGAUUUUAGUCCUUGUUUGCCCCCUUAGUCAGGUGCCCUUGUACAGUGCACAACCUGCCCAACCUUGCAGUGCCAUCUGGGAUGAAACAACUACUUAAAAUGGGUAGGUCCUUUGCUCCUCUUCUCUACGAUUACGAUCAUACGUAUUUUUAUAUUUAUAAAAGCAGAAGACUAUAUACACUACUUCCCAUUCAUUUACUCUUUAAGUUAGACAAGUCUCAUAUUCUAGAUAUCCUUAGGGAAGUUGAGAAAGCUGGGCCAUGAAACUCUGAAAAUUGCCUGAAGGGUGGUGCUCUACUUCUAAGAUAACAGUUCACGUUCCCUUCCUCCAGCAAUUCUCCUACUCCUUUAGUGCAGGGACCACUCUCCACCUUGUUUCCUAGUUAUUUCUUCUUCCUUCUACUAGACUGUCAACUCUCUGAAGACAAGGGCCAUUUGCAAACAGCAGAGAGACCUGAGGGAGUUUACUGGUCGUCUUUUGAUAGAAAGUGAACAGAAUUGCUUGAAUCAUUAUUGAUACCAUGCAAAAGACUUGAUCCAUUUUCUUCAGGGACUUGCAUCUCUGAACUCUUGUAGCCUUUUGGGUAUGAGCAACCCUUCAUAGAACAAUUUACUUCCAUUUUUUCUUCCAUCCAGCAGCUGAUGGGAAAAAUUUGCUGACACCAACAGGGCUUGUGGAUGGCGGAAGAUUGUUAAAUAUCAGAUCUCACUUAGGAUCGAGUCAUGCCUUCUCUAAAGGAUUGCAUUCAGGAGCUGGUAGAUUCCAGCAGCUUCUCUGAUGGGGGCUCUGUGUGUUUUCUUUAGUAGGUUCCUUCUCAGCUGCGCUGAAAAGCCGGGGUUAAGCUUUGGUUUGAACCAAAUGAGAGAAAAGGUCAGGUGUGGGGAAAAGAAAUAGAAUCCACCGUGGCAGUCAAUGUGACAGGCAUCCGGGUGUCGGCACAAACAGUGGGAUGUGAUGGGCACGUCUUCUUAAUUAAGGAGUAGUUUUGGGAUCUACUUAGGAAAGCUGUGAGACCCGGCUCAGUAUGCCACACAACCGAGCCUCAUUAGCCCAGAUGCCUCCCCACAGACGAGAGAGCUGAGUAUUUCCCCAAUGUUGGAAACCUGGUAAUUGCCUUUUGCAGGAAAAGCAAUGACAGUUUCUGCACACUCUCCCAAUUUCCUGAAAACUUUGAUUGUUUUUAGGACAUUCUGGGAUGAGUAAAAACCCAAGGCAGCUCCUUCUAAGCUAUGUUUUAUACCACGGGCCCUGAGGUCAUGUGUUUCCUCUUCUCCCUCAGUAGAACACCGCUCAUUUUGGCUUAAUGCCUUUGCUUUAGACAUUGUCCAUCUCAUCCCCACUUCCUCCCUUCUGAGAGUCAGGAAAAAAGGAUAUCUCUUCAGGAAAUGGAGCUCUGGCUCUUGGGGUGAGGAAACAAAUUCACCAUGCACAGAUCAAUUUCACAUGGUUUUCAGAAAAGGAUUGCUUUGAAAAGUGAAUCUCUCAUUAAACUCCACCAGGAGGAUUGUGUUCCAUAUUGCCUUUCUCAACAGCCUUCUAGAUCUUGCUGGGCCAGGAACAGCCCCUCUCAGGCCUCAUCUUCCUCUUUUCUAAAACAAGCAGGAACUCAGAGUCCUACACAGCUGGGCUAGUCAAGUGCGGUUCUGGGACCAGCAGUAUCUGCAACACUUGUUUGGUCUCUUAGGACCCAUCCGAGAAAGCCCCAACUCCUCAGCAUGGUGUAUAGAGCCCUUCACUCUCCAGACAACACUUCUGGCCCCCACUUCUGAUGCCAGCUUCCUCAGACACACACAGCUCCCACAUCAGCAACUUGGCCUCAUCAAGACCUCCACUCCAUGCUCCCAGAGCCCAGCUUAUCUUCCUGAAGCCAUGCCUUCCAUGGCUUUACACUUGUCCAUGGAGUCAGCUCAAGAGCCUUCCACCCCUGUGCUUUUUUUUGAACUUUUUCCCACCUCAUUCAGCUCUUCCUCAUAUAGAAUUGCUGCUUCUAUGUAGUCUGAAUAAUCUGAAUGAAGAUUUAUUGGGAUGGAGAUG